GACAGCAGUAGCCACGGGAACACGUAGGGCCCGAGCGUUGUCCGGAAUUAUUGGGCGUAAAGGGCUCGUAGGCGGUUUGUCGCGUCGGGAGUGAAAACUCAGGGCUCAACCCUGAGCGUGCUUCCGAUACGGGCAGACUAGAGGUAUGCAGGGGAGAACGGAAUUCCUGGUGUAGCGGUGGAAUGCGCAGAUAUCAGGAGGAACACCGGUGGCGAAGGCGGUUCUCUGGGCAUUACCUGACGCUGAGGAGCGAAAGCAUGGGGAGCAAACAGGAUUAGAUACCCCAGUAGUCCCUGUCUCUUAUAC
rnacentral:rRNA from 1 species